GCUGCUCCGGACGCACCAGCCUUUCAUUUCCACUGAAAACUCGCCCGAUCCACCCUAACAAACGGCUGCAAUUAACUUUUGUCCUUCUGGAGGGAUGCUGAGUUUUUGGGCUGUUUCAAGUUGGUCGUCCCUGAGGACUCGGGAGUUCUGGUGACAUUCCCGGAGAAAUAAGACCGGCUGCACUGAAAAAAUAAAACCACUGAGAUGAAGUCGGCAGCUCUUUUGUUCUUCCUCUGGAUACUCUGGCUGGUUUGAUGUGCCCAGACCUUGGUGUCACGGAUCUCGCUAAGGAACUACCCACCAGCUGAAAACCCAGAGGGGAAAAAGGGAGGAGAGAGAAGAGUGAGGACAGGUUAAACCCUUACAGUCAGAUGCCACCAAAGCAAUAAAACUCUGGCAGCGAAAUUGAGUAAGAGACAGCUUAGAAGUGGAAAUGCCGCAAAGAGGAGAAAGGGGUGAAGUCAGGAGGGGUCUCUAAAUCCAAUGCUUGGGGUGGAGAGCGUCCAACUCCGCAUCCCGAGGGAUGCAUUGCCAGCGCUGGAUGCAGGGACCCCACGAGUGGGGCUGUGGGGACCCCACGAGUGGGGCUAUGAGGACCCCACAAGAGGGGCUAUGAGGACCCCACAAGAGGGGCUGUGGGGACCCCACAAGAGGGGCUGUGGGGACCCCACGAGUGGGGCUAUGAGGACCCCACAAGAGGGGCUGUGGGGACCCCCGUGUACGGAGGAAAAGCACAGCAAAGGCAAACGCGGAGC